GACGAACGCUGGCGGCGUGCUUAACACAUGCAAGUCGAACGAUGAAGCUGGAGCUUGCUCUGGUGGAUUAGUGGCGAACGGGUGAGUAACACGUGAGUAACCUGCCCUGGACUCUGGGAUAACCCCGAGAAAUCGGAGCUAAUACCGGAUAGGACCUCGGAUCGCAUGAUCUGGGGUGGGAAGUUUUUCGGUCUGGGAUGGACUCGCGGCCUAUCAGCUUGUUGGUGAGGUAAUGGCUCACCAAGGCGUCGACGGGUAGCCGGCCUGAGAGGGUGACCGGCCACACUGGGACUGAGACACGGCCCAGACUCCUACGGGAGGCAGCAGCGGGGAAUAUUGCACAAUGGGCGCAAGCCUGAUGCAGCAACGCCGCGUGCGGGAUGACAGCCUUCGGGUUGUAAACCGCUUUUAGUAAGGAAGAAGCCGCAAGGUGACGGUACUUGCAGAAAAAGGACCGGCUAACUACGUGCCAGCCGCCGCUGUAAGAC
rnacentral:rRNA from 1 species